GACUUAGCGGCGGACGGGUGAGUAACACGUAGGCAACCUGCCCUUUAGCCUGGGAUAACUACCGGAAACGGUAGCUAAUACCGGAUACUUUCUUUUUCUGCAUGGGAGAAGAACGAAAGACGGAGCAAUCUGUCACUGAAGGAUGGGCCUGCGGCGCAUUAGCUAGUUGGUGGGGUAACGGCUCACCAAGGCGACGAUGCGUAGCCGACCUGAGAGGGUGAUCGGCCACACUGGGACUGAGACACGGCCCAGACUCCUACGGGAGGCAGCAGUAGGGAAUCUUCCGCAAUGGGCGAAAGCCUGACGGAGCAACGCCGCGUGAGUGAUGAAGGUUUUCGGAUCGUAAAGCUCUGUUGCCAGGGAAGAACGUCUUGGAGAGUAACUGCUCCGAGAGUGACGGUACCUGAGAAGAAAGCCCCGGCUAACUACGUGCCAGCAGCCGCGGUAAUACGUAGGGGGCAAGCGUUGUCCGGAAUUAUUGGGCGUAAAGCGCGCGCAGGCGGCCGUUUAAGUCCGGUGUUUAAUCCCGAAGCUCAACUUCGGGUCGCACUGGAAACUGGAGGGCUUGAGUGCAGAAGAGGAGAGUGGAAUUCCACGUGUAGCGGUGAAAUGCGUAGAGAUGUGGAGGAACACCAGUGGCGAAGGCGACUCUCUGGGCUGUAACUGACGC
rnacentral:rRNA from 2 species